GCAAUCCUUUUAAAAUGCAUCAUGCUAUUUUAAUUAAUUAACUUAAUUAUUGUUCUCUGUUCUAUUUCAGCAUCAUAAAAAGAUCACUCAAUAGGACUGAUUUUUGCUGGAGUUUUAAACUAACUCUUGAUUGAUUCCCUCUGAAAGAUCAUACUGGCUCACAAUUAAUGUGACCAUGCUAGCUGGAUUGGUGCUCAGUAGAAGCCAUUACCUAGUCAUAGUGGUGGAGCAAAAGUCCUCCGAGAUGAGCUAUUGCUGCUGUUUGAUGGAACCUGGUGGAAGUGGAUGGUUUGGAGAAGACCAAGAAAGUUGGUCUUCAGAUGUAUUUGAAAGUUGUGAUAAUUAUGGAAUUAGUUUUUUUACCCUUCUGAAACAAGUACCCAUGGCUUUGCAGUCCUUCAUUAAAAAUGUAUAGCAUACAGGGUGGUCCAUCUACAAUUAUUUAAUUGAAGACCUUUGGAAAAUACAUGCUUACUCUGCUUCUAAACAAAUACAUCAGAGGUAUCUAUUCACAGAAAGCACAGGUGCCAUUCUUUUGAAACACUUUAACAAUGGCAAGGUCCCAU
rnacentral:lncRNA from 1 species